UUCUUGGCAGGUGUUCUUGGGACACUGUGGAGUUCGUGAUACAGAUGGGAAUGAGUUGCCUCGCCUCGUCUAGUGUAUGUUUCUCGUGAGAAGCGGCCUGGAUUUGGGCACCAUGAGAUAGCUUGAGCAAUGAACUCUUUGUUAAGGAUGAAUCUGUUUCGUUAACUAGAAUCCAGCCUUGUCCUUCUUCAAAUUACCUAUGUUAUGUUUUUUUUUUUUCAAAAUAUCCUUUGGUAACAGUAACCUAGCUACUAUGCUUAACGCUAUGUCUAGGGAUUCAUGAAACGGUAUUGUGAAUUGUGACUGGCAUUGUAAGCGUCGAUUUGUUGCUGAUCCUUUUUGUUUCAUCAAGCUUUCCUUGACUGGACGUUAAUAUGGAUCAUUUAUGUGUUUACCUUUUCUUGAAGAUCCGUGUCUCUGCUGUUCUGUCAAACGCUCCUUGCCUUCUGAACGUAGAUUAACUGUGAUCUCUACAUCAACAACGGCAAGGCGAUUAGAGAAGCUACUAUAUGUUUCAUGAUGGAUCCACAAAUCUGGAAAGAAAGUUUGUUAUGUUCAGUUUUCCUCAGAGAUUUGACGGGAUCGAUAGACAUGAUCGAUACUCUAAUCGCAACGUUGUGUUCUUUUGAUGUUUGUCUUUUGCUUCAUUCUGUUUAUGUUCUUACUUCUCUCCCUCCUUUCUCAUUUGCCUUUUGGUGUGAAAACAGAUUAACAUGAAAGGUCCUGAUGGGAUACAAGGACCGAUAUACGUUGGGACAGGUUGUGUCUUUAGAAGACAAGCACUUCAUGGUUUUGAUGCACCAAAGAAGAAGAAACCACCAGGAAAAACCUGGGCCUAAAUGGUGUUGUCUAUGUUUUGGGUUGAGAAAGAAAGGACCUAAAGAGACAUCAACGCAGAUCCAUGCUGUUGAGAACAUCAGAGAAGGUGACAUCGUUGCAGUUUGGUUAGUCUCCAGUUUUCGUUGCUUCUGCUGUUCUGAAAGAUGGUGCAGUUCCUCGUAAACGCAAGCCCUGCGUGUUUGUUGAGAGAAGCCAUUCAAGUUAUUAGAUAGGGAUGCGAAGAUAAAACCGAAUGGGGAAAAGAGGUAACCUCAUUACAAGGUUUUCAACAUGUUAGAAAGUUGCAAAACUCCUUGUGAUCUCAUUCUACUUACUACUUACAUGCAGAUUGGGUGGCUUUACGGAUCGGUUACAGAACAGAAGAUAUCUUUAACAUGGAUGGAGAUCUUUAUUACUGUAUGCCAAAGCGUCCAGCUUUUAAAGGAUCUGCUCCCAUUACGUUCGGCUCUUGGCUCUGUGGAGAUUUUCUUGGAGUUAGCACUAACUUCAAAGUCACGUCGAAAGCAGCAAACGAUGGAGCUUUCUCUGAGCUUCACAUAUUCAAAUGGACGACUCUGUUGACUACCCUUCUGAUCAUAAACAUCAACGGAGGUAUUGUCGGAUGCCAUUAGCAAUCUAUUGGGGACCUCAGUUUGGGAAAUUUUUCUAUGCUUUUUGUGUCAUUGUUCAUUUAUACCCAUUCCUCAAGGGGUUGCUUGGGAAGCAAGAUAGAAUGCCUACGAUUAUUGUGGUUCUAUUCUUCUUGCCUCAAUUUUGACGCUCUUGUAGGUUAGUAGAGUUAAAUCCGUUUGUGGCUAAAGGUGGACUAGUGUUAGAGAUAUGUGGUCUGAGCUGUGGAAACUAAACUCAGUAAUAAGAAAACAAAGACUUACCGGCUGUUCCUUUUAUCUUGCUGCAAUGAGUUUUUCGAAAGUAUAAAAAAAUCUUAACUAUACUUCGGAGUGAGAAUGUUUAGCUGAUUGAUAAAUAAUGGAAAAAAAAAAAUCAAGAAAACAAUUAAAUAAAUCUCAUCAGACAACAAAAAUCUCGAGGAAAUCAUAUUCAUGAUUUUUAUUAAACUCCCACAACCAUAAGGCUAAACAAUGCCAACCGAACCAACAAAUGAUUGUGUUCAUUUCUUAUUCCUUUUAUUAUUACUAGUGCAAAAUUAUUUUUAAAGUUUCUUUUUUUAUUGUUUGUAAAUGUUAAAUUUUAUACUAAAUUUUCUUUGCGUCAAAAGAUACGCUUCUAAAGUACGCCUUUAAAGUUUGAUAGCUCUUCCCCCUCCCUCACCUUACGCUUCAAACGGAAACUAGAAGCGAAUGAAAAAAAAAACUAAAACAAUACCAAGAGAGGAAAGAAGAAGCAACUGCAACAAUUACACAAACAAUAACAUAACUAAACAAAAGGUU